UACGUAGGGCGCGAGCGUUGUCCGGAAUUAUUGGGCGUAAAGAGCUCGUAGGCGGUCUGUCGCGUCGAUCGUGAAAACUUGGGGCUUAACCCUGAGCUUGCGGUCGAUACGGGCAUGACUGGAGUUCGGCAGGGGAGACUGGAAUUCCUGGUGUAGCGGUGAAAUGCGCAGAUAUCAGGAGGAACACCGGUGGCGAAGGCGGGUCUCUGGGCCGAUACUGACGCUGAGGAGCGAAAGCGUGGGGAGCGAACAGG
rnacentral:rRNA from 1 species